rnacentral:rRNA from 1 species
UACGAAGGGGGCUAGCGUUGUUCGGAUUUACUGGGCGUAAAGCGCACGUAGGCGGAUCGAUCAGUCAGGGGUGAAAUCCCAGAGCUCAACUCUGGAACUGCCUUUGAUACUGUCGAUCUGGAGUAUGGAAGAGGUGAGUGGAAUUCCGAGUGUAGAGGUGAAAUUCGUAGAUAUUCGGAGGAACACCAGUGGCGAAGGCGGCUCACUGGCCCGAUACUGACGCUGAGGCACGAAAGCGUGGGGAGCAAACAGG